rnacentral:rRNA from 1 species
AUUGAACGCUGGCGGCGUGCUUAACACAUGCAAGUCGCGCGUGAAAGGACUUCGGUCCGAGUAAAGCGGCGCACGGGUGAGUAACGCGUGGAUGAUCUACCCAUGAGUUAGGAAUAACGGCUGGAAACGGUCGCUAAUACCGAAUACGCUCCGAUUUCAACUUCGGGGGAAAGGUGGCCUCUGCUUGCAAGCUACUGCUCAUGGAUGAGUCCGCGUCCCAUUAGCUAGUUGGUGGGGUAACGGCCCACCAAGGCGACGAUGGGUAGCCGGUCUGAGAGGAUGACCGGCCACACUGGGACUGGAACACGGCCCAGACUCCUACGGGAGGCAGCAGUGGGGAAUAUUGCGCAAUGGGCGAAAGCCUGACGCAGCGACGCCGCGUGAGGGAUGAAGGUCCUCGGAUCGUAAACCUCUGUCAGGAGGGAAGAACCGCCACGGUGCUAAUCAGCCGUGGUCUGACGGUACCUCCAAAGGAAGCACCGGCUAACUCCGUGCCAGCCGCCGCCGUAA